rnacentral:rRNA from 1 species
GGAUAACUUACCCUUAGGACUGGGAUAACUCUGGGAAACUGGGGAUAAUACUGGAUAUUAGGCUAUGCCUGGAAUGGUUUGCCUUUGAAAUGUUUUUUUCGCCUAAGGAUAGGUCUGCGGCUGAUUAGGUCGUUGGUGGGGUAAUGGCCCACCAAGCCGAUGAUCGGUACGGGUUGUGAGAGCAAGGGCCCGGAGAUGGAACCUGAGACAAGGUUCCAGACCCUACGGGGUGCAGCAGGCGCGAAACCUCCGCAAUGUACGAAAGUGCGACGGGGGGAUCCCAAGUGUUAUGCUUUUUUGUAUGACUUUUCAUUAGUGUAAAAAGCUUUUAGAAUAAGAGCUGGGCAAGACCGGUGCCAGCCGCCGCGGUAACACCGGCAGCUCGAGUGGUAGCUGUUUUUAUUGGGCCUAAAGCGUUCGUAGCCGGUUUGAUAAGUCUUUGGUGAAAGCUUGUAGCUUAACUAUAAGAAUUGCUGGAGAUACUAUUAGACUUGAAGUCGGGAGAGGUUAGAGGUACUACCGGGGUAGGGGUGAAAUCCUAUAAUCCUGGGAGGACCACCUGUGGCGAAGGCGUCUAACUGGAACGAUCUUGACGGUGAGUAACGAAAGCCAGGGGCGCGAACCGGAUUAGAUACCCGGGUAGUCCUGGCCGUAAACGAUGUGGACUUGGUGUUGGAAUGGCUUUGAGUUGUUCCGGUGCC